CUACGGGAGGCAGCAGUAGGGAAUUUUGGGCAAUGGGCGAAAGCCUGACCCAGCAACGCCGCGUGAAGGAUGAAGUCUCUCGGGAUGUAAACUUCGUAAGAAUAGGAAGAAUAAAUGACGGUACUAUUUGUAAGGUCCGGCUAACUACGCGCCAGCAGCCGCGGUAAUACGUAGGGACCAAGCGUUGUUCGGAUUUACUGGGCGUAAAGGGCGCGUAGGCGGCGUGGUAAGUCACUUGUGAAAUCUCCGAGCUUAACUCGGAACGGUCAAGUGAUACUGCUGUGCUAGAGUACAGAAGGGGCAAUCGGAAUUCUUGGUGUAGCGGUGAAAUGCGUAGAUAUCAAGAGGAACACCUGAGGUGAAGACGGGUUGCUGGGCUGAUACUGACGCUGAGGCGCGAAAGCUAGGGUAGCAAACGGGAUUAGAAACCCUAGUAGUCCU
rnacentral:rRNA from 1 species